rnacentral:rRNA from 1 species
GAUGAACGCUGGCGGCGUGCCUAAUACAUGCAAGUCGAGCGAACAGACGAGGAGCUUGCUCCUCUGACGUUAGCGGCGGACGGGUGAGUAACACGUGGAUAACCUACCUAUAAGACUGGGAUAACUUCGGGAAACCGGAGCUAAUACCGGAUAAUAUAUUGAACCGCAUGGUUCAAUAGUGAAAGACGGUUUUGCUGUCACUUAUAGAUGGAUCCGCGCCGCAUUAGCUAGUUGGUAAGGUAACGGCUUACCAAGGCAACGAUGCGUAGCCGACCUGAGAGGGUGAUCGGCCACACUGGAACUGAGACACGGUCCAGACUCCUACGGGAGGCAGCAGUAGGGAAUCUUCCGCAAUGGGCGAAAGCCUGACGGAGCAAAGCCGCGUGAGUGAUGAAGGUCUUCGGAUCGUAAAACUCUGUUAUUAGGGAAGAACAAAUGUGUAAGUAACUAUGCACGUCUUGACGGUACCUAAUCAGAAAGCCACGGCUAACUACGUG